rnacentral:rRNA from 1 species
GCCGGGGCUUCUUCUGCGGGUACCGUCAUUAUCUUCCCCGCUGAAAGGGGUUUACAACCCUAAGGCCUUCUUCACCCACGCGGCAUGGCUGGAUCAGGCUUUCGCCCAUUGUCCAAUAUUCCCC